rnacentral:piRNA from 1 species
UAAGUGACAUGUGUCUAGGACAUGUUAAA